rnacentral:rRNA from 1 species
CCUACGGGUGGCAGCAGUGAGGAAUAUUGGUCAAUGGACGCAAGUCUGAACCAGCCAUGCCGCGUGCAGGAAGACGGCCCUAUGAGUUGUAAACUGCUUUUGUACGAGGGUAAACGCAGAUACGUGUAUCUGUCUGAAAGUAUCGUACGAAUAAGGAUCGGCUAACUCCGUGCCAGCAGCCGCGGUAAUACGGAGGAUUCAAGCGUUAUCCGGAUUUAUUGGGUUUAAAGGGUGCGUAGGCGGUCGGUUAAGUUAGUUGUGAAAGCCCGCGGCUCAACGGUGGAAUUGCAUUUGAUACUGGUAGGCUUGAGAGUAGUUGCGGUAGGCGGAAUGCAUGGUGUAGCGGUGAAAUGCUUAGAGAUCAUGCAGAACACCGAUUGCGAAGGCAGCUUACCAAACUGCUACUGACAUUGAGGCACGAAAGCGUGGGGAGCAAACAGGAUUAGAUACCCUAGUAGUC